UGCAGUCGAGCGGAACGAGUUAUCUGAACCUUCGGGGGACGAUAACGGCGUCGAGCGGCGGACGGGUGAGUAAUGCCUAGGAAAUUGCCCUGAUGUGGGGGAUAACCAUUGGAAACGAUGGCUAAUACCGCAUGAUGCCUACGGGCCAAAGAGGGGGACCUUCGGGCCUCUCGCGUCAGGAUAUGCCUAGGUGGGAUUAGCUAGUUGGUGAGGUAAGGGCUCACCAAGGCGACGAUCCCUAGCUGGUCUGAGAGGAUGAUCAGCCACACUGGAACUGAGACACGGUCCAGACUCCUACGGGAGGCAGCAGUGGGGAAUAUUGCACAAUGGGCGCAAGCCUGAUGCAGCCAUGCCGCGUGUGUGAAGAAGGCCUUCGGGUUGUAAAGCACUUUCAGUCGUGAGGAAGGUGGUGUAGUUAAUAGCUGCAUUAUUUGACGUUAGCGACAGAAGAAGCACCGGCUAACUCCGUGCCAGCAGCCGCGGUAAUACGGAGGGUGCGAGCGUUAAUCGGAAUUACUGGGCGUAAAGCGCAUGCAGGUGGUUUGUUAAGUCAGAUGUGAAAGCCCGGGGCUCAACCUCGGAAUAGCAUUUGAAACUGGCAGACUAGAGUACUGUAGAGGGGGGUAGAAUUUCAGGUGUAGCGGUGAAAUGCGUAGAGAUCUGAAGGAAUACCGGUGGCGAAGGCGGCCCCCUGGACAGAUACUGACACUCAGAUGCGAAAGCGUGGGGAGCAAACAGGAUUAGAUACCCUGGUAGUCCACGCCGUAAACGAUGUCUACUUGGAGGUUGUGGCCUUGAGCCGUGGCUUUCGGAGCUAACGCGUUAAGUAGACCGCCUGGGGAGUACGGUCGCAAGAUUAAAACUCAAAUGAAUUGACGGGGGCCCGCACAAGCGGUGGAGCAUGUGUUUAAUUCGAUGCAACGCGAAGAA
rnacentral:rRNA from 1 species